UUCCGGUUGAUCCCGCCGGAGGCUACCGCUAUUGGAGUUCGAUUAAGCCAUGCGAGUCGCGAGAAAUUAGAUUCUCGGCGUACCGCUCAGUAACACGUGGGUAACCUGCCCUAUGCUGGAUAAUAACCUCGGGAAACUGAGAAUAAUGAUCCAUAGUUCACUACGCCUGGAACGGUGAGUGGAUGAAAGCUCCGGCGGCAUAGGAUGGGCCUGCGGCGUAUCAGGUUGUAGGGGGUGUAACGUACCCUCUAGCCCUCUACGCGUACGGGUGUUGGGAGACAUAGCCCGGAGAUGGAUUCUGAGACACGAAUCCAGACCCUACGGGGUGCAGCAGGCGCGAAAACUUGGCAAUGCGAGAAAUCGUGACCAGGGAACUCCAAGUGCAUCGGGUAAGACCGGUGCUUUUCUUGACUCUAAAUAGGUCUUGGAAUAAGGGGUGGGUAAGGACGGUGCCAGCCGCCGCGGUAAUACCGGCGCCUCAAGUGGUAGUCGCUUUUAUUGGGCCUAAAACGUCCGUAGCCGGUCUGAUACAUUCGUGGGUAAAUCAACCAGCUUAACUGGUUGAAUUCUGCGAGGACGGUCAGACUUGGGACCGGGAGAGGUGUGGGGUACGCUCAGGGUAGGGGUAAAAUCCUGUCAUCCUGAGCGGACCACCUGUUGCGAAGGCGCCACACUAGAACGGAUCCGACGGUCAGGGACGAAGCCUAGGGGCACGAACCGGAUUAGAUACCCGGGUAGUCCUAGGUGUAAACGCUGUGGACUUGAUGUUGGGGGUGCUCCGAGCUCUUUCAGUGUCGAAGCGAAGGUGAUAAGUCCACUGCCUGGGAAGUACGGUCGCAAGGCUGAAACUUAAAGGAAUUGGCGGGGGAGCACCGCAACCUGAGGAUUGUGCGGUUUAAUUGGAGUCAACGCCGGA
rnacentral:rRNA from 1 species